rnacentral:rRNA from 1 species
UACGAAGGGGGCGAGCGUUGUUCGGAUUUACUGGGCGUAAAGGGCUCGUAGGCGGCCAACUAAGUCGGAUGUGAAAUCCCCAGGCUCAACCUGGGAACUGCAUCCGAUACUGGAUGGCUUGAAUUCGGGAGAGGGAUGCAGAAUUCCAGGUGUAGCGGUGAAAUGCGUAGAUAUCUGGAGGAAUACCGGUGGCGAAGGCGGCAUCCUGGACCGACAUUGACGCUGAGGAGCGAAAGCCAGGGGAGCAAACGGG